GUGGUGGUGAAUACACAGGCGGAGCAGAGUGCAUUCGUGGCGGAGAGGAAGGUGCCACUACCGGCGAUGGUGGAGAGAUAGGUGACACUAUUCGAGGUGGUGGAGAUUUAUGUGAAACUACCGGCGGUGAUGGAGAGGAAGGUGAAACUACCGGAUGUGGCGGAGAGAUAGGUGACACUAUUGGCUGUGGUGGAGAGGAAGGUGAAACUACCGGCGGUGAUUGAGAGAUAGGUGGCGCUACCGACGGUUGUGGGGAGAUAGGCGACACUAUUGUCGGUGGUGGAGAGAAAGGUGAU
rnacentral:lncRNA from 1 species